rnacentral:RNase_P_RNA from 1 species
GAAGCAGGCCAGACCGCCGCUGGUGCGAGCGUGGAAACACGGCACUGGAGGAAGGUCCGGACUGCACAGAGCGGCGUAGCAGUUAACGGCUGCCCAGCGCGAGCUGAGGAUCAGAGCAACAGAGACGAGUCGAUGCGGGGUUCCCGGGUCGGGUGCUCUGCGAGGGACCGGCGCGAGCCGGUCGCCGGGUGGCGCAAGCCGCCCGGCCGCGGCGAAGGCCGCGACCGAGCAGCCACCCGAUGCGGGGCUGAAGCCCCGCAUCGGGUGAAACGGGCAAUCUCUACGCGCAGCAACACCAAGUAGGCCGGCGUUGACGUGGCUCGCGGAGCCGGCGGGUAGGUGGCACCGAGCCGCAGGGCGACCUGCGGCCCAGAGGAAUGGCGGUCACGGUCGGAGCCGGCGCAAGCCGGUGCCGCCGCACAGAAUCCGGCCUAUCGGCCUGCUUCACAC